UGAGAGAAAGUGGAAACGUGUGACAUCAUAUACACCAGAAAGGUCCUUAUUGCCUGACUAGACAUCUUUGUGUAGUACAAUGUAGUAAAUACUCAGUUGUUAUGAGAAAGAAUUGGCCUCACAGGGAUGGUAUGAGUAGAAUGAAAAAGGCAGACCCAAGUAAAUACUACAGUCUGAAAAGGGAAAUGUGAUACCCCAGGAAGCAUCCGCAUUGCUUAAAUGGAUUCGUGCGAGGGGCUUUAGCGAGCAGACAUUGAUUGGCUUCUCUCUGGGGCCCGCUGCAGGCCCGACGGGUUCUGCUUUGACACAGGCAGCAAAUGAAAUACGACCUCCUGUAAACGGGCCUGAGCUUCUGGGCCUUUGUGGAAUCCGGGAGCUAAGGACCUUUUCAAUCCCUUUUAAUUAAUGAAGUGAUUUGACUUGACUGAGAUUACACUUGCAAUAAUGAAUUAAAAAGUAAUAA
rnacentral:lncRNA from 1 species